rnacentral:rRNA from 1 species
AGUGAACGCUGGCGGUAGGCCUAACACAUGCAAGUCGAACGGCAGCACAGUAAGAGCUUGCUCUUACGGGUGGCGAGUGGCGGACGGGUGAGGAAUACAUCGGAAUCUACUUUUUCGUGGGGGAUAACGUAGGGAAACUUACGCUAAUACCGCAUACGACCUACGGGUGAAAGCAGGGGAUCUUCGGACCUUGCGCGAUUGAAUGAGCCGAUGUCGGACUAGCUAGUUGGCGGGCUAAAGGCCCACCAAGGCGACGAUCCGUAGCUGGUCUGAGAGGAUGAUCAGCCACACUGGAACUGAGACACGGUCCAGACUCCUACGGGAGGCAGCAGUGGGGAAUAUUGGACAAUGGGCGCAAGCCUGAUCCAGCCAUACCGCGUGGGUGAAGAAGGCCUUCGGGUUGUAAAGCCCUUUUGUUGGGAAAGAAAAGCAGCAGGUUAAUACCCCGCUGUUCUGACGGUACCCAAAGAAUAAGCACCGGCUAACUUCGUG